rnacentral:tRNA from 2 species
GGCAAUAGCUCAGUUGGUAGAGCACAACCUUGCCAAGGUUGGGGUCGCGGGUUCAAGUCCCGUUUGCC